UACCACCAAGCAACAUGGAAAGCUGUCACAAGUAAUCCUGUGGUUAAACUCAGAAAAUAAGAUACUUUUCAGAUAUCAUCUGUACACUGAUAGAACCUUAUGUUAAGACCAUUUUAAGGAAUUAUAUACCCUACCUGUUAUAGAUGUCUCUCUCCUGUUAUCUCUUUACCAUGAAGGGAGACCACAGCAUUGCUGCAAAAGUGUGUGUGUUUGUGUGUGUGUGUAUCCUUAGGGGGUAAAAAUGUUUUGAAACUCCUAAAGAACUUAGGGAUUCAGUUGCAACUCCAGAAUUGUGAGGAGAGGAUUUGGGUCUCUUUAAUAUAGAGGUCAAUAACCCAUUUCAACCUUUUUUUUUUUUUUUAAUUAGAUUUGUUUUGUGGUUUCAACUAAAGUUGAAGUCAAAAAAACACAAUCCUAACCCAGCACUUUAGGGCAAGGAUGACUGUUCUGGAAUCAUGCUCAGUGCUUUGCCAGGGCACCAAGUAUUUAGAUGUUUAGAGCUAUGCUCUUGCAGAAUGGGGUAUAUUGAGGAAAUCCGAGGAGUGAUUCUGAUGAAUUCCUGCAUUCUAUGUAAUCUAUCUCGAUCUUCCACAAUCCUAUGAGUAUUAAAUUGCCCAGACUUUUAAACAAAAAUGUUAUCUUGGGAAUGAGGGAUUUUUUUUUUUAAUGUGUCUCAAAAGAUGGCUAUUUCCGUAUCAAAGCCCGUACUUGCUGGGAGAUAUCCGUGCUAUAACACAAAAUCCCCGUUGGAUUCUGAUUUCUUCUUGCUAAGAGCUUUGAUCUGCUCUUUUGUUCCGGAAGUCUUAACAAACUGUUGCCGGAACUUCUGCCUGCAUCUCAGAUUCUUUUUUUCUUUUCACUUUCCCAGUUCUAGAGCCACUUGACCUUGUCUGAAUGGGGAAAUGAGGAUCUAUCCAAAAUCACAGUUUGCUUUGUUCUGGAGGAUAGGAAGUCCAAGAUAACGGUGCCAAGAGAUCUGAGUCCUCAUUGAGGACUCUCUUCCUGACUUGCAGACAUCUAUCUUCUCUUUCUGUCCAAACAACUGGAAGAGAAAGGGAGAGAAGAAGCAAGCUUUCUGGAACCUUCUUUUAAAAGAUUGAUCUGCUUCUACUUCAACCUAUCUAUAAAGGGACUUUGAUGCUUUUGAAUUAUGGUGCCGGAGAAGACUCUUGAAAUUCCCUUGGAAACCAGUCAAUGCUAAAGGAAAUCAACCCUGAACAUUCAUUG